rnacentral:rRNA from 1 species
UACGUAGGGCGCAAGCGUUGUCCGGAAUUAUUGGGCGUAAAGAGCUCGUAGGCGGCUUGUCGCGUCGGUUGUGAAAGCCCGGGGCUUAACCCCGGGUCUGCAGUCGAUACGGGCAGGCUAGAGUUCGGUAGGGGAGAUCGGAAUUCCUGGUGUAGCGGUGAAAUGCGCAGAUAUCAGGAGGAACACCGGUGGCGAAGGCGGGUCUCUGGGCCGAUACUGACGCUGAGGAGCGAAAGCGUGGGGAGCGAACAGG